rnacentral:rRNA from 1 species
UCCCCUAGUAACUGCGAGUGAAGCGGGAAGAGCUCAAAUUUUGAAUCUGGCAGCCUUUGACUGUCCGAGUUGUAAUCUAGAGAAGCGUCUUCCGCGCUGGACCGUGUACAAGUCUCCUGGAAGGGAGCGUCAUAGAGGGUGAGAAUCCCGUCUUUGACACGGACUACCAGUGCUAUGUGAUGCGCUCUCAACGAGUCGAGUUGUUUGGGAAUGCAGCUCAAAACGGGUGGUAAAUUCCAUCUAAAGCUAAAUACAGGCGAGAGACCGAUAGCGAACAAGUACCGUGAGGGAAAGAUGAAAAGAACUUUGGAAAGAGAGUUAAACAGUACGUGAAAUUGCUGAAAGGGAAACGCUUGAUGUCAGUCGCGUCGG